CCCAGACAGCCAGGAUGUUGGCUUAGAAGCAGCCAUCAUUUAAAGAAAGCGUAAUAGCUCACUGGUCGAGUCGGCCUGCGCGGAAGAUGUAACGGGGCUAAACCAUGCACCGAAGCUGCGGCAGCGAACGUAUCACUUAAAGCGAUUCAGCGGAUUACGAUUGACGGAGCGAAGCGACGUCAAAGCGUAUACAAAGUCGAGUCGGUUUAAGGAUACGUUCGUUGGGUAGGGGAGCGUUCUGUAAGCCUGUGAAGGUGGCCUGUGAGGGUUGCUGGAGGUAUCAGAAGUGCGAAUGCUGACAUAAGUAACGAUAAAGCGGGUGAAAAGCCCGCUCGCCGGAAGACCAAGGGUUCCUGUCCAACGUUAAUCGGGGCAGGGUGAGUCGACCCCUAAGGC
rnacentral:rRNA from 1 species